CGGCGAAAUUGCACUACGAGUAAAGAUGCUCGUUACGCGCAGCAGGACGGAAAGACCCCGGGACCUUUACUAUAGUUUGGUAUUGGUGAUUGGGACGGUUUGUGUAGGAUAGGUGGGAGACGUUGAUGCGGCCACGCUAGUGGUGGUGGAGUCGUUGGUGAAAUACCACUCUGAUUGUUCUGGUUAUCUCACUGUGGACCGUGAUCCGGUUCAAGGACAGUGCCUGAUGGGUAGUUUGACUGGGGCGGUCGGCUCCUAAAUCGUAACGGAG
rnacentral:rRNA from 1 species